UACGAGGGGUGCAAGCGUUGCUCGGAAUUAUUGGGCGUAAAGGGUAGGUAGGUGGUCUCAUUUGUCUGGGGUGAAAGCCUUGAGCUUAACUCAAGAAGUGCCCCGGAAACGGUGAGACUGGAGUCCUGGAGAGGGUCGUGGAAUUCCCGGUGUAGCGGUGAAAUGCGUAGAGAUCCGGAAGAACACCAGUGGCGAAGGCGGCCCGCUGGGCAGUGGCUGACGCUGAGGCACGAAAGCUAGGGGAGCAAACAGG
rnacentral:rRNA from 1 species